CUCACUCAAAAACCAACAGUCACCUCUAUGUGCGCUGCUGCAAUAUAGCUUCUUUUAUUGUUCAACUUCAACCCGCCCAAUUGGAAUAUUGCUAGCUUAGUGUUCGGUUUAGUUCGCACUUUCAAAAACAUAAACCGCAACAUUUGUAAGUCAAAUUCAUAUUUCUUUUACAAUGCAUUUACAGCGGUAAGUUCGAACCCAGCCGCCUUUAGCGUGAUUCUGUUCUGUUAUCAUUCUUAGUGGCUGAGCCAAAAACAAAACUAAAACGGCCGUUUCCUAUAUAAGGGAAGCACCACACAGAAAAUUGCAUCAUUCACAUUAGCGUUGUGGAAUUAAUUAGAAGCAGUGUUAUUAUUCGAAGUUAUUCUCAGUGAACUUUUUGCAUCGAUAAAUAUGCCAAACAAAUCGGAUCAACAUGGGGCCGCUAUUCGCCAAGGCGUCCAGGCGAACCCCAAUGCCAAGGGAGAGGAAAGAGCAGAAGUAGUUCGAACGGCCGUACAACAGGCGAACGCUCAAGGUCAAGGUAAAAAGUGAAUCAUUGAUCACAUUGUACCAAUUACUUGAAUAAAUGUGUUACCUUGAGUAAAAUAUAAUAA